GUGGGUAUAGCUCAAUGGCAGAGGGCAUGCCUAGAAUGCACGAGGUCCUGGGUUUAAUCCCCAGCAUCUCCA
rfam:Camelus ferus unplaced genomic scaffold scaffold743, whole genome shotgun sequence.